rnacentral:rRNA from 1 species
UUUGCUUAAAAUAAAAGGUCCAGCCUGCCCAGUGACACUGUUCAACGGCCGCGGUAUCCUAACCGUGCGAAGGUAGCGUAAUCACUUGUUCUUUAAAUGAGGACUAGUAUGAAAGGCAUCACGAGAGUCAUACUGUCUCCUCUUUCCAAUCAGUUAAACUAAUCUCCCCGUGAAGAAGCGAGGAUAACUAUAUAAGACGAGAAGACCCUAUGGAGCUUUAAACGAAUAACACUUGCCCACUCACUCCUUUUAAUUUCAGAAAAAUCUUUUACCUUGGCAUCAUACUUAUAAGUUUUUGAUUGGGGUGAUCACGGAACAAAAAAUAACCUCCGCAAUGAAAGACUCUCCAUUACUAAGUCAAGAACCACAACUCUACACAUCAACAAAUUGACACCAAUUGACCCAAUUUAUUGACCAAUGAAC